rnacentral:rRNA from 1 species
GAGUGAACAGGCAAGAGCUCAGAUUUGAAAGGCACUUUUGUGCCGUUGUAUUCUGAAGUUAGGGUCCUGAGAAACGAUGCUUAAGUCUUCUGGAAAGGAGCGCCAUGGAGGGUGAUAGCCCCGUCUAGCAUUGACCUCAUAUAGGAUCUUAACAUGGAGUCGAGUUGUUUGGGAAUGCAGCUCAAAUGGGUGGUAUGCUCCAUCUAAAGCUAAAUAUCUGCGAGAGACCGAUAGUAAACAAGUACUGUGAGGGAAAGAUGAAAAGAACUUUGAAAAGAGAGUGAAAAAGUACGUGAAAUUGUUGAAAUGGAAGGGUAGGCCGCUAACCAUGUAGAGCCGUGUUUGGGGGGAAGAUAAAUGCUGUAGAAUGUAGCUCCUCGGAGUAUUAUAGAUGCAGUUCAUAUUCCCACCCGAGCG